AAGGGUAAAAUUGUUGAUAUUGGAAGACAUACGAUAGCGAAAGCAAUAACUGAUUUGGAUCUGACACUAGGUACGAAAGUAUGGGGAUAAAUAGGAUUAGAGACCUAGUAGUCCAUACCUAAACAAUGAGUGUCAACGUC
rnacentral:rRNA from 1 species